rnacentral:rRNA from 1 species
UACGGGGGGAGCAAACGUUGUUCGGAAUCACUGGGCGUAAAGGGCGUGUAGGCGGCUGGAUAAGUGGGAUGUUAAAUCCCCCGGCUCAACCGGGGACCUGCAUCUCAUACUGUUCAGCUCGAGCACAUCAGAGGAGACUGGAAUUCCCGGUGUAGCGGUGAAAUGCGUAGAUAUCGGAAGGAACAUCAGUGGCGAAAGCGACUUCCUGGACCAAUACUGACGCUCAUGUGCGAAAGCGUGGGGAGCAAACAGG